rnacentral:tRNA from 1 species
GGGCGCGUAGCUCAGAUGGUUAGAGCGCCUGCUUCACACGCAGGAGGUCUCAGGUUCGAGUCCUGACGCGCCCACCA